rnacentral:rRNA from 1 species
UACGGGGGGGGCAAGCGUUGUUCGGAAUUACUGGGCGUAAAGGGCUUGUAGGUGGCUCGCUAAGUCAUACGUGAAAUCCCUCAGCUUAACUGGGGAACUGCGUGUGAGACUGGCAAGCUCGAGUGCAGGAGAGGAAUGCGGAAUUCCAGGUGUAGCGGUGAAAUGCGUAGAUAUCUGGAGGAAUACCGGUGGCGAAGGCGGCAUCCUGGACCGGCAUUGACGCUGAGGAGCGAAAGCUAGGGGAGCAAACGGG